UCCGCCCUUCACCAUGUCUGCCAGGUGAGUUUAAGGUGAGUACUUAUGAUCAGGGUGUUAAGUCUCACCUAGUAGCAGGAUUUUAACCACAUUCAUCUCCCGCUUGGCGCCCUCGUACAGCUCUCUGUCUAUCUUGGCACUGUUUAUCCUCGCUUUCUUCUGCUCCUCUGUGACUUCGGUACCGAGGCACAGUCCCAUCCUGAGAAACUCAUCUCCUCCCCCAGCCUGAGAGGAAAAACAAAAGCAGGGAUUCCAGACUGUGAACCGACCUACCGGAAUUUGUUUCUACAGGCUGCAUGCUCCGAGCAAACUGCAGGGUGGCUGUUAACUCUUGGAAGGAAGAAAAGUUCAGGCCAUCUUCGAAACAUCCUCAAAACUCGAAACUAGUGUUGGGGCUCAAACUGUCCGCGUCGCUCCAGGUUCCGUGUCAGUGGGAGAUUGUACUGUAUGGGACUUUUUUCAGUCCCGAGCCGUGAAAACACCGCUGAGUUAUGUCACCGUGCACCAGUGCACUUCAAAUCUGCCCUACCGCCUUGGCAGAGACCCCAGAUCAGAGCGCCUCCUCCCGCUGCAGCCCUCCGCACAGAUGGAAAACUUUUCGGACUUCCCUGGGAAGUGACGUGCCGGGACAAAACCGCUGAGUGCGCAACUUCACCUGAGGAUAAAACUAUACAGUGUUUCCAAUCAUGAUGGCUGAUUACACCUGCUCAGGUUACAGGUGUGCAUUUAUGACGGGAUUUACAGUGUGUGAUGUCACCAAAACACACUGAUAAGCGUGAACAUGUUUGAACUUGCAACAAAACACAGACACAUAGACAAGAUGUUUUAUCAAGUAAAAAAUACCUGUGGUGUAAAUUAGUUGUUAUUGUUAUUUUUUGUGGGAUUUUAGAAGUCUGGAGGGCAUUUACAAAAAAAAAAAACAUGAAUUUGAGAAAAGCAAAAUAAUUAAACCACAUUUUUAAAAUAAACUAUUUCCUUCUUAUCCCUUUUAUAUCUUUUUAGGAACUACUUCCUGUUUUCAGAGCCACUGCACUUAGGUAACACAAAUACAUUAAUAUGGACAGCUAAAUGUCCAUUGGGUCUUCUUUGUGUAAAUAUACUUUUAAUUGCUACUCCAUUAACUACAUUAGGCCUCCAUACAAAAACAGCUUAGACCAAAUAAGUGUGGAGUGUGAGAUCUGGAUGUCUCUAAGCUGAGGGAUAGGAUCCUUCCUGCAGAAGCUCCUCGGGGGUGCCCGCUCAGGCUGGGGGAUUAAAGGCUCUUUGUGUGUAUAAUGAGGUGACGGGUUUGCAGUUUUUGUUCAAGUCUGAGAGCAGCAGGAUCGGGACGGGACGGUAGGAUUUAGCAGCUUUUGAAUGGCUGUGUCCUCAUUUCACAGAGUCAGUGAUCUGUGACGAUGUGCUGAUCCAACAAAGACCUCUGUCAUGAGGCUGCACACCCCUACUGCAGUCAAACAGACAUGACAAUAUUUCCAAUUUAUUUAUUAAAAUGUACAAGUUGCAAUUUAUUGAUUGAUAUUUAGAAACAUAUUUAUUUCUCAGCCUGCGACAUUCUACAGACACAUUUAUAAAACAGAAACUGUCUCGCACCUUUAACAAUUCAUCUCAGAGUAAUAUGCCCCAUAAUAACAAGGAAAAUCACAAGACUGUACACCUCUACAGAAGCAGUUUGAAAGUGAGACUGGGUCCAAAUGUGAAAUUUGUUGGAUUCUCUUGUAGAAGAAAACAUAAUAGUUUUGCAGAAUUCUUUUAAAAGGUAGACUGAGGUCAGAGACACAGUUUAAAGUUUUGGUGCAAUUCACAGAUCUUGAAUUAGUUGUACCGUUAGGAAUGAGGCACGACAUUACUGUCAUUUACAGUGCAAACACUCACUCACUAACUACACACACACACACACACACACACACACACACACACACACACACACACACACACACACACACACACACACACACACACACACACACACACACACACAUA